rnacentral:rRNA from 2 species
AUGCAGCACGCCGCGUGAGGGAUGACGGCCUUCGGGUUGUAAACCUCUUUUAGCAGGGAAGAAGCGGAAGUGACGGUACCUGCAGAAAAAGCGCCGGCUAACUACGUGCCAGCAGCCGCGGUAAUACGUAGGGCGCAAGCGUUAUCCGGAAUUAUUGGGCGUAAAGAGCUCGUAGGCGGUUUGUCGCGUCUGCUGUGAAAUCUGGGGGCUCAACCCCCGGCCUGCAGUGGGUACGGGCAGACUAGAGUGCGGUAGGGGAGAUUGGAAUUCCUGGUGUAGCGGUGGAAUGCGCAGAUAUCAGGAGGAACACCGAUGGCGAAGGCAGAUCUCUGGGCCGUAACUGACGCUGAGGAGCGAAAGGGUGGGGAGCAAACAGGCUUAGAUACCCUGGUAGUCCACCCCGUAAACGUUGGGAACUAGUUGUGGGGUCCAUUCCACGGAUUCCGUGACGCAGCUAACGCAUUAAGUUCCCCGCCUGGGGAGUACGGCCGCAAGGCUAAAACUCAAAGGAAUUGACGGGGACCCGCACAAGCGGCGGAGCAUGCGGAUUAAUUCGAUGCAACGCGAAGAACCUUACCAAGGCUUGACAUACACGAGAACGCUGCAGAAAUGUAGAACUCUUUGGACACUCGUGAACAGGUGGUGCAUGGUUGUCGUCAGCUCGUGUCGUGAGAUGUUGGGUUAAGUCCCGCAACGAGCGCAACCCUCGUUCUAUGUUGCCAGCACGUAAUGGUGGGAACUCAUGGGAUACUGCCGGGGUCAACUCGGAGGAAGGUGGGGAUGACGUCAAAUCAU